AGCAGCCGCGGUAAUUCCAGCUCCAAUAGCGUAUAUUAAAGUUGUUGCAGUUAAAAAGCUCGUAGUUGAACUUCGGGGUUCACCCAUUGGUCAGGCUUAAUUGUCUGUACUGGUGAGAUGAGUCUCUACCUUCUGAGGAACUUUCAUGCCAUUUGUUUGGUGUGAUGGGAAAUCAGGACUGUUACUUUGAAAAAAUUAGAGUGUUUAAAGCAGGCUAACGUCUGAAUACAUUAGCAUGGAAUAAUGAAAUAGGACAGAUUGAUUCUAUUUCGUUGGUUUCUAGGGUCACCGUAAAUAAUUAAUAGGGAUAGUUGGGGGCAUUAGUAUUCAAUUGUCAGAGGUGAAAAUUCUUGGAUUUAUUGAAGACUAACUACUGCGAAAAGCAUUUUGCCAAAGGAUGUUUUCAUUAAAUCAAGAAAUGAAAAGUUAGGGGGAUCGAAGACGAUCAGAAUACCGUCGUAGUCUUAACCAUAAAACUAUGCCGACUAGGGAUCGGAUGAUGUU
rnacentral:rRNA from 1 species